rnacentral:lncRNA from 1 species
UUUCCAACCACUCAUCGAUCCUUUAGGCAACUCGGUGAUAUAAGAUCUGCUUAAAGAUAACACCCUCAAUUUCCUACAUUUUGAUAAUAAAUUAGAAAAUACCAAAUCAUUCUUGUCAUACACACCAGAACUUGAAAUUGACUCAUACACACCAGAACUUGAAAUUGACACUGGCAGAAAUGUCCUCAGAUGCUGAACUUCGUGCAUUACUUCAAGCAUGCUGUUGCCAUCAUUCACACUACAGUCAUAAGAAAAAUGACGAGACUUCUGUACAGAGGAGAUUGACUUGUUGGC